CAGGGAAUCUUGCACAAUGGGCGAAAGCCUGAUGCAGCGACGCCGCGUGGGGGAUGAAGGCCUUAGGGUCGUAAACCCCUUUCAGCAGGGACGAAAAUGACGGUACCUGCAGAAGAAGCCCCGGCCAACUACGUGCCAGCAGCCGCGGUAAGACGUAGGGGGCGAGCGUUGUCCGGAUUUAUUGGGCGUAAAGAGCUCGUAGGCGGUUGCGUAAGUCGGAUGUGAAAACUCAGGGCUCAACCCUGAGACGCCAUCCGAUACUGCGCUGACUUGAAUCCAGUAGGGGAGUGUGGAAUUCCUGGUGUAGCGGUGAAAUGCGCAGAUAUCAGGAGGAACACCCAUGGCGAAGGCAGCACUCUGGGCUGGUAUUGACGCUGAGGAGCGAAAGCAUGGGGAGCGAACAGGAUUAGAUACCCGUGUAGUCCCUGAGCGGGCUGGCAAGGCGCAU
rnacentral:rRNA from 1 species